rnacentral:rRNA from 1 species
GAUGAACGCUGGCGGUGUGCCUAAUUCAUGCAAGUCGAGCGAACAGACGAGGAGCUUGCUCCUCUGACGUUAGCGGCGGACGGGUGAGUAACACGUGGAUAACCUACCUAUAAGACUGGGAUAACUUCGGGAAACCGGAGCUAAUACCGGAUAAUAUAUUGAACCGCAUGGUUCAAUAGUGAAAGACGGUUUUGCUGUCACUUAUAGAUGGAUCCGCGCCGCAUUAGCUAGUUGGUAAGGUAACGGCUUACCAAGGCAACGAUGCGUAGCCGACCUGAGAGGGUGAUCGGCCACACUGGAACUGAGACACGGUCCAGACUCCUACGGGAGGCAGCAGUAGGGAAUCUUCCGCAAUGGGCGAAAGCCUGACGGAGCAACGCCGCGUGAGUGAUGAAGGUCUUCGGAUCGUAAAACUCUGUUAUUAGGGAAGAACAAAUGUGUAAGUAACUAUGCACGUAUUGACGGUACCUAAUCAGAAAGCCACGGCUAACUACGUG